rnacentral:lncRNA from 1 species
ACUGCAAGUGGUAGGGGACAAAUUGCAAAGAAGGUAUUAAUGAUUAAUUAGGUGCAUAUGUAUGAUAGCAGCGCAGAGACAGAGACAGAUAGAGGUGCGGUUAAAAAAAAAAAGUAAAAGCAAAAACAAAAGCUCAAAUUCCUUUCAAUUGUGCAGAUGUUAUCCCACUAUCCAACCAUCUGCCAUACCCACCUUCUGCAGCAGCUUUUUUUAAUGAUGUAAUUCAUUUUUCUUAUCUUUCGGAGACAUCUGUAUAAACCCCAUCAGAGGGUAAAAAAAAAAAAA